rnacentral:snoRNA from 1 species
UUCCAUGAUGAAACGGCACUGGGCUCCGAAUACAUCGCAUGAGCAAGAGAAGCCAAUUUGUGGCAGGCCUAGAAAACCUCGCCCACUGAUC